rnacentral:rRNA from 1 species
CAGCCCCGCGGGAAUACGUAGGUGGCAAGCGUUGUCCGGAAUUAUUGGGCGUAAAGGGCUCGCAGGCGGUUUCUUAAGUCUGAUGUGAAAGCCCCCGGCUCAACCGGGGAGGGUCAUUGGAAACUGGGAAACUUGAGUGCAGAAGAGGAGAGUGGAAUUCCACGUGUAGCGGUGAAAUGCGUAGAGAUGUGGAGGAACACCAGUGGCGAAGGCGACUCUCUGGUCUGUAACUGACGCUGAGGAGCGAAAGCGUGGGGAGCGAACAGGAUUAGAUACCCCCGUAGUCCCUGUCUCUUAUACA